rnacentral:rRNA from 1 species
CAUCCUCCAAGGCUAAAUACUCCUGACUGACCGAUAGUGAACCAGUACCGUGAGGGAAAGGCGAAAAGAACCCCGGCGAGGGGAGUGAAAAAGAACCUGAAACCGUGUACGUACAAGCAGUGGGAGCACAGGUUUACCUGUGUGACUGCGUACCUUUUGUAUAAUGGGUCAGCGACUUAUAUUCUGUAGCAAGGUUAACCGUAUAGGGGAGCCGGAGGGAAACCGAGUCUUAA